rnacentral:rRNA from 1 species
UUCUGACCUCGGAUCAGGUGGGACUACCCGCUGAACUUAAGCAUAUCAAUAAGCGGAGGAAAAGAAACUAACAAGGAUUCCCUUAGUAACUGCGAGUGAAGUGGGAUGAGCUCAAAUUUAAAAUCUGGUAGUCUCUGGCUGCCCGAGUUGUAAUCUAGAGAAGUGUUUUCUGUGCUGGACUGUGUUUAAGUUUCCUGGAUAUGGAACAUCAUAGAGGGUGAGAAUCCCGUCCUUAAUACAGACUCCCCAGUACUAUGUGAUGCACUCUCAACGAGUCGAGUUGUUUGGGAUUGCAGCUCAAAAUGGGAGGUA